AGGAGAUCAUCUUUAGAACUGUCCAGAGGUGUCACAUCACCAUUAGGAAGGAUUGUAGAACCACCUUAAAGUGGGCAUGUCAUUGUUUAUACAUUAACUGCAAUACACUUGAGUUUGCAGUGUACCCUUAGACAACAUUCUGGAACAUUUGGUUUACAGCAGACUUUGGGAAGAGGCUGAGCAGCAAAGGAUAAGAGGAAGAUGAACUAGAGGAAAGGCUGGUACUCUGCGUGAGACAGACCAUUGCCAACUAACUAUUCCAAGGUUGGAAUCCGGUAAUUUAAGAAAGAGGACGACAUGGGAUCCAGGAAACAGGAGAACAAUGAAGGGAUGUCUUAUGGCAUCUCUUUAGUAGGCCUAAAGAGGAACCAGUCAAGAUGGAAGAUUUGGGAGGGAAAACUCCAGGAAAAAAAGGAAUGUAACAGAAUAGAAGGUGAAAUGGAAAGAGAAGAGGUACAUAGUUAUACCGGACACUUACAUUUCAAAGUGCGAAAUUUACCUGAGCACCUGAUCCACCUCAGCCUGGUUGGAAGGAGCUAAGCCCUGAAGCUCCUCGGUGAUGGUUUCGUUGACCCACCGCACCGCAGUGCUGACGGCAUCUGACCUUUCUAAUUCCUCUGCUUCAGCUAGCUCGGGUAAAGCGUUCUCAUGGACUUCGAAGUGAGUUGAGAUCACCACAGAACAUAUAUUCUGAAAACAAUAUAAACGUGUUCUACAUUUUCCCUACCUUUCACAGGAAAUAGGAAAUUGAAUGUAUCUAGCUUUUAAGGUACAUGAUAUUUUAUCACCAAUUUCAAAGAGAAAAUGAGAAUCUAUAAUUUUCUUUGAGAUAUUUUUAUAGCUACUGAAACACGAUGGAACCCAACUUGAAGGAACGUUUAAAAUUAUUAACUUGUUAAAAUACCCUUCUAAAAACCCUACAUUGAACUUCAUUUUUACCACUACCUCUCUAAAAAAUAGCAAAAAGGAGACAAAUUUAAUCAUAAUUAUUUUCAUUUAUGAAAAUGAAAUUUUCUUUCUGUAGAUCGGUCUAUAUAUCUGUAAAUCUAUAUAUAAAUACAUGAAUCUAUAACCCUAUCUGCAGAUUUAUAGAAUUCAUGACAUUAAUAAUGUCAGAGUUUUUAAAACUAUUUUUGCCCCAUUUCCUUUCUCCAUCUUGGAUCAUCUUCAGGUUAGCGAGUCAUGUCUGUACCAGUAGUCCCCA